rnacentral:rRNA from 2 species
AUUGGUGCUUGCAUCAUGAUUUACAUUUGAGUGAGUGGCGAACUGGUGAGUAACACGUGGGAAACCUGCCCAGAAGCGGGGGAUAACACCUGGAAACAGAUGCUAAUACCGCAUAACAACUUGGACCGCAUGGUCCGAGUUUGAAAGAUGGCUUCGGCUAUCACUUUUGGAUGGUCCCGCGGCGUAUUAGCUAGAUGGUGGGGUAACGGCUCACCAUGGCAAUGAUACGUAGCCGACCUGAGAGGGUAAUCGGCCACAUUGGGACUGAGACACGGCCCAAACUCCUACGGGAGGCAGCAGUAGGGAAUCUUCCACAAUGGACGAAAGUCUGAUGGAGCAACGCCGCGUGAGUGAAGAAGGGUUUCGGCUCGUAAAACUCUGUUGUUAAAGAAGAACAUAUCUGAGAGUAACUGUUCAGGUAUUGACGGUAUUUAACCAGAAAGCCACGGCUAACUACGUGCCAGCAGCCGCGGUAAUACGUAGGUGGCAAGCGUUGUCCGGAUUUAUUGGGCGUAAAGCGAGCGCAGGCGGUUUUUUAAGUCUGAUGUGAAAGCCUUCGGCUCAACCGAAGAAGUGCAUCGGAAACUGGGAAACUUGAGUGCAGAAGAGGACAGUGGAACUCCAUGUGUAGCGGUGAAAUGCGUAGAUAUAUGGAAGAACACCAGUGGCGAAGGCGGCUGUCUGGUCUGUAACUGACGCUGAGGCUCGAAAGUAUGGGUAGCAAACAGGAUUAGAUACCCUGGUAGUCCAUACCGUAAACGAUGAAUGCUAAGUGUUGGAGGGUUUCCGCCCUUCAGUGCUGCAGCUAACGCAUUAAGCAUUCCGCCUGGGGAGUACGGCCGCAAGGCUGAAACUCAAAGGAAUUGACGGGGGCCCGCACAAGCGGUGGAGCAUGUGGUUUAAUUCGAAGCUACGCGAAGAACCUUACCAGGUCUUGACAUACUAUGCAAAUCUAAGAGAUUAGACGUUCCCUUCGGGGACAUGGAUACAGGUGGUGCAUGGUUGUCGUCAGCUCGUGUCGUGAGAUGUUGGGUUAAGUCCCGCAACGAGCGCAACCCUUAUUAUCAGUUGCCAGCAUUAAGUUGGGCACUCUGGUGAGACUGCCGGUGACAAACCGGAGGAAGGUGGGGAUGACGUCAAAUCAUCAUGCCCCUUAUGACCUGGGCUACACACGUGCUACAAUGGAUGGUACAACGAGUUGCGAACUCGCGAGAGUAAGCUAAUCUCUUAAAGCCAUUCUCAGUUCGGAUUGUAGGCUGCAACUCGCCUACAUGAAGUCGGAAUCGCUAGUAAUCGCGGAUCAGCAUGCCGCGGUGAAUACGUUCCCGGGCCUUGUACACACCGCCCGUCACACCAUGAGAGUUUGUAACACCCAAAGUCGGUGG